rnacentral:rRNA from 1 species
GUUUGAUCAUGGCUCAGAUUGAACGCUGGCGGCAUGCCUUACACAUGCAAGUCGAACGGUAGAGUAGCAAUACUUGAGAGUGGCGAACGGGUGAGUAAUAUAUCGGAACGUGCCCAGUCGUGGGGGAUAACGUAGAGAAAUUUACGCUAAUACCGCAUACGAUCUACGGAUGAAAGCGGGGGAUUCGCAAGAACCUCGCGCGAUUGGAGCGGCUGAUAUCAGAUUAGGUUGUUGGUGAGGUAAAAGCUCACCAAGCCGACGAUCUGUAGCUGGUUUGAGAGAACGACCAGCCACACUGGGACUGAGACACGGCCCAGACUCCUACGGGAGGCAGCAGUGGGGAAUUUUGGACAAUGGGCGAAAGCCUGAUCCAGCAAUGCCGCGUGUGGGAAGAAGGCCUUCGGGUUGUAAACCACUUUUGUACGGAACGAAACGGUUCGCUUUAAUACAGUGGGCUAAUGACGGUACCGUAAGAAUAAGCACCGGCUAACUACGUGCCAGCAGCCGCGGUAAUACGUAGGGUGCGAGCGUUAAUCGGAAUUACUGGGCGUAAAGCGUGCGCAGGCGGUUAUAUAAGACAGUUGUGAAAUCACCGGGCUCAACCUGGGAAUUGCAUUCUGUGACUGUAUAGCUAGAGUACGG